GCUUAACACAUGCAAGUCGAGCGGGCGUAGCAAUACGUCAGCGGCAGACGGGUGAGUAACGCGUGGGAACAUACCUUUUGGUUCGGAACAACACAGGGAAACUUGUGCUAAUACCGGAUAAGCCCUUACGGGGAAAGAUUUAUCGCCGAAAGAUUGGCCCGCGUCUGAUUAGCUAGUUGGUGAGGUAAUGGCUCACCAAGGCGACGAUCAGUAGCUGGUCUGAGAGGAUGAUCAGCCACAUUGGGACUGAGACACGGCCCAAACUCCUACGGGAGGCAGCAGUGGGGAAUAUUGGACAAUGGGCGCAAGCCUGAUCCAGCCAUGCCGCGUGAGUGAUGAAGGCCCUAGGGUUGUAAAGCUCUUUUGUGCGGGAAGAUAAUGACGGUACCGCAAGAAUAAGCCCCGGCUAACUUCGUGCCAGCAGCCGCGGUAAUAC
rnacentral:rRNA from 1 species